UCUUCUCUUCCUUCACCUAUGCAUGUGGUGAAUGAAAUUACUAAAUCUUUAACGUUCACUCAAAUUUGUAUGCCUACAAUAAAAUGCCUUGAUCAUGGCAUGUUACGUGGUUUAUCCUUUGCUGGAUUUCCUUUGCUGGCAUCUUACGUAGGGUUUUGCAUCUCAGUUACUGAGUGUGCUUGUCCUCUAACUCUUCUUCUACCUUCCUUCUCUAAUUUGUUAUCAUUUUUAAACUAGCCUUAAGGAUCAAGUUAGGGGAGUAUCUCAUGGUUUUCUAAUCUCUGUUGACUAUGUACAAGAUUAAAAUGACUGUUUCUUGCAUGUUUGCUGGAACCUGACUGGAAACGAUCUAGGUCUGCCGUUUUCUUUGUAGGGAGAUCUUGAACUACUGACCCAUUUUAUUUAGUGGUUAAAGGCAUCUUCUGGUGCUAAUUUACUUAGAAAAAAUUCUGAUGCAUGUUCUAGGUUGCUCGAAUCUCAUCUUCAAAUAUUGAUUAUCAGGGCUUGUAGCCUCAUGGAAGGCAAUUCAUCAAUCCCAGAUUUCCCCAAAGUCAGGCUCUGCAACUCUUCCCGGUACCAAAUUCCCUCAUUUAAGACUUAUUUGCAAAGAGACAACAGUAUGCUAUCUGCGCAGUUGUUUAUCCACAACCUUCUUGAGUCCAUAAUGUGAGGAUAUAGUCUUCUAAUACUUUUUUUGUAAUUGUUCUCUUUCUUAUUUUUUUUUUUUUCCUUUUUUCACUGCCAAUACCCCUGCCCCCCGCCAGUCUAGUAGUUUUAAAGUUGUGCGUUUCAGGUUCAAGUCUGUAAUCCAACUGAGCUUCUGUGUGUGCUGCAUGUGUGCAUCAAAAGAACACGCUUCUAGAAGCAGAAAGCAGGCAGUGCGACUGUUGGGUGGUUGGCGGGGGAGGGGGAGGGGAGCUGCUGCUCAGAGAGGGCGCCCGAGGGAGGCAGGAGAUGCCGGGCUGCCCGCCGCAAGCCCGCAGGCUCCAAGGAGGCGGAACCCACGUGCACCAUGAGCCUUUUGAGACAGGCCCAAGCCCACCCAGCUGGGUGCUAACCUCGCAUCCGCCAGGCUUGCAGGUUCCACCAGGACUAGGGGAAGCCUAAGGCCAAGGAGGGCAAGGUCUAGGGUCUGGACCUGAGAACUGGUUCUGCCACUUGUGAUCGCAGCGCUUAUGCUGGAAAGGAGGGCAGGAAGCAUAUCGCAACGUGUGUCCGGACGAUGACCCAGAACGGGGGAGUUGUGGUCACCCACGGACUCUGGGUCUGCAUAUGGAGGCCCCCAGGGUGCAAUUCCAGGAGCAGAAGGCAAAGCCACAGAGGCCAAAGUGCACCUCGCCGAUGCUUCCCAGGGGCAUUUCCCCAAAUAUGGGGAGCAGUCCCUCCUCUGGGCUAGGGACUUUGUUUCCUCCAUUGUCAUCACUGACUGUGAGCAGACUCUAGUCUAUGCAGACUAAUGAGGAGUUAUCAAAAUGAGCUCCAAACUCCGGAUUUGAGUUAAGGAUCAUAAAUUAACACAGAGAAAUAUGACUUUAGCAAUAAGUGACUGUUUGAAGCCCAAGUUGCCUUAAAACACGGAAUUUCAGUCUUUCAGCUCCUCUGCUAAUCUAGUGACUAAGAACAGGAUCUCACUGGAGCUCAAAGAUGUGGGGCACUGGGAAUACUCUGGGUCUGUCUGCUCACGGCUGAUUGCCUGAUCCCAGUUUUAUUAUACAGCUUAAAUACAGACCAGAAGAGGAGUUUGGGGCUUGACACCUGACAUCUUAACACCAGUUCCUGUUUCUUGAGGAAGGAAGAGGUAAAAUAAAUCAGCAUUUACUGUGUCCUUCUCCAUCCCCGGAAGUCUUCAUGAAGACCCUCUCAGCUUCUACUUGAACGUGAAUAUGAGCAACUGAUCAUCUGUUCUGCAGUCAGCCCCUGGCCUGAUUCUGACUCAUGGUAUUGACCUUCUCCAUCAUCACCUUCCACAAAUUUGAUUCCUAUCUAUUCUGCCUGGAAUGGUUCACGAGUAUAGUCACCAUUUAUGUUCCUGACGAAAGCAGGUGAAGGCAUUCGUGCAGAGAGGCGAUUUCCAUGCGUGCAGCAAAGUGUGUGCUGAGAUGAUGAGUCGCUGGAGACCAGGGUGGACUCUUCAGACCCAGGAUAGGCCUCUGGCAGGCACUCUAUCAGGCACUCCAAGCUGGGAAGUGACUCAGGGAGAGAAGGAAGAGAUUUCAGAGAAUGAACACAUAUAGAGAGAGAGGCAAGAGAUGCUGAGUGAGGAUGUCUUGCGUACUGAUAUCCUGAGGAAAGUGGGAAAAUUGGACCCUGGCCUGCUCUGCCAAUGCCGUGAAGCAGUCCGCACCAGGGGCUCCCUUGUGCCUGCGUAGCCUUUCCCAGGGUGUGCUCAAAUCCUGUGACCACUAGGUGUCCUAGGUCACAAUGGAGGACCCUGUGUCAUCUGCCUGGCGGACUGGAUCUCUGCCAUUGGCUGAGUCUUGUCACCAGGCCCAUCAUAAGCUCUGCCCACUCUUCCGGUGGGGAGACUCUUUCCAUGGUGAUGGCAAAGAAACCUUAGUCCCGCCCACCUGGCCUUGACUUCACCUACCUGGCCUGCUGACCCUCACUCAGACCUCUGUGUCGAUCAAAAUGAAUGUUCACCAGUGGCCCGGUGUCAGCAUCUGGUAUAAAGGAUUCGGGACCUUGCCUGAGGCAGAAGGCAGCCUAGGUCUGCGGGUACCUGGAAGUCUAGUGACUUGUGACGCUGCUGCCAGUGAGAAAUGGUGACUCCCACACUCACAUAUCCCCUGGUGGCAGAAUGAUAGUGAUGGGUGGAGAAACAUCGCUCCGGAGCACUCGCGCAGUGGGGCACCGGCCAGAGGCCAGGGCCAGUAGUGGACGUCGCGGAGCUGAAUGGCGAGCCAGUGAAGGGCCCAAGGAUUUCUCCAAUGAGGCAAAAUGCAGAUCAAGCCAAGGAACAUAAAGAUAAAGCAGCUGAAGAAAUUAAAAAGGUUACUCAAGAACAUAGUUAAAAAUUUAAUAAGCUGCAAGAAACCAUAGAGAGACUGCAAUCAGAGAUUCAGAAGAUUAACAAUAAAAUUACAGAGUUAGAAAACUCAAUAGAAAGUAAGAAGAGCACAACUGAGGAAUUGGAAGGCAGAAUUACUGAGAUUGAAGAUGAAACUCUUGGGACUAAUAUAUUUGAAGAGAAAGCAGAUAAAAGAAAUUUAAAUGAAGAAAUCCAAAGAAUCAUGUGGGACUUUAUCAAGAGAAAUAACUAUGAGUGAUUUCAGUACCAGAACAGGGAGGGCUAACAGAAAAUACAAAGGGAACUGUUGAAGAUUUGUUGGCAGAAAACUUCCAUGAUAUCAUGAAAGAUGCUCAUCGAAUUCCACAUAAGGUAGAUCUCAAAAGAAAGUGACCGAGACACAUAAUAAUCAAACUUGCCAAAAUCAAAUAUAAAGAGAAUUUUAAGAGAGGCUAGGGAUAAAGGAAGUCACCAACAAAGGAGAGUAAAUAAUAAAAAACUUGGACUACUCAGCAGAAAUCAUGCAGGCAAGAAGGCAAAGGGAUGACUUACACAAAAUAUUGAAGGAAAAAAAUUGCCAGCCAGGAAUCAAACCAUAACCCUGGCCCUCUGGCCUUCGGGCCCUCUGGCCUUAGCCCUCUAACUCUAGCCCCUAAGCCCUGAGCCCCAAAGCCCCUAAGACCCUAAGCCCUUAGGUCCUAACCCCCAAGGCCCUAAACUCUAACCCUAACCCAAACCGUAACCCCUAUAGCCUAAACUCUACAACCUAAACACCUACACCCCAAAACACUACACAUCAAAACCCUACACACUAAACCCUAUACUCUAAGCCUCAAACCCUAAACCCAAACCUCAAAUCCCAAACCCUAAACCUAACCGUAAACCCUAAACCCUAACACCUAACCCUAACCCCUAACCACCCUAACCCUAAUGACCCUAACCCUAACCCUCGAACCCUAACCCUCUAACGCUAACAUGAAACCCUAAUCCGAAACCCUAACCCUCUAACUCUAACCUCUAACCCUCUAACCCUAGCCCUAAUCCUAACCCCAACCUCCAAACCUAACCCCAAACCCUAAACCUCAAAUCCCUAGCCCUAAACCUAAGAAUGAGCCUAAGCCUAACCCUAUCACUUAACUCUAAACCCUAAACCAUAACA